CCUACGGGUGGCAGCAGUGAGGAAUAUUGGUCAAUGGGCGUAAGCCUGAACCAGCAACGCCGCGUGAGGGAUGAAGGUUCUAUGGAUCGUAAACCUCUUUUAUAAGGGAAUAAAGUGUGGGACGUGUCCUAUUUUGUAUGUACCUUAUGAAUAAGGAUGGGCGAACUCCGUGCCAGCAGCCGCGGUAAUACGGAGGGUCCGGGCGUUAUCCGGAUUUAUUGGGUUUAAAGGGUGCGUAGGCGGCCUUUUAAGUCAGCGGUGAAAGUCUGUGGCUCAACCAUAGAAUUGCCUUUGAAACUGGGGUGCUAGAGUAUGUGUGAGGCAGGUGGAAUUCGUGGUGUAGCGGUAAAAUGCGUAGAUAUCACGCAGAACCCUGAUUGCGAAGGCAGCCUGCCAAGCCAUGACUGACGCUGAUGCACGAAAGCGUGGGGAUCAAACAGGAUUAGAUACCCUUGUAGUC
rnacentral:rRNA from 1 species